AAAAAGACAAACCCUGGGUUUCCGUGUCCAACAUUUGAUCGUCCGUCUUAUUUGAAAAAAUUAUUAAAAAAUUAAAAAGACAAGUCACGCAUAAAGUAUUAAUCAUGUUUUAUCAUCUAACAACAAUGAAAAUACUAAUUAUAAAAAAAAUCAUAUAAGACGAACGGUCAAACGUUGAACACGGAAACCCAGGGUUUGUCUUUUU
rnacentral:pre_miRNA from 1 species